AUUUUUUAAUAUCCAUAUGAUUAUAUAUAUUUAUUUGAUCACUGGAAGUUUUGCAAUUUUCCGAGGAGUCAUAUAAGCUGCAACUGUUCUGCAGAUUUUGCCAUUUCGGUUUCAUGAUCUUCACAUUGAUUGAUUGCUAUAAUCAAGUUUUGUUUUCCAAAGGCACAUUUGUAGUUUUGCCUUUGUGUAAUGGAACAACUUGCACAAGCCAAUCUUCAAACACACACUUCA